rnacentral:rRNA from 1 species
AUGAGCUCAGAGAGCAGUGCAAGUAAUGGCCAUGCGAAAGAAGCAGCAUUAUAUGAGCAGCAGCUGUCCAAGAUUGGUGAAGUUAGAGCUGCUCUAGGACAACUAUCUGGAAAAUCUGCACUAUACUGCUCAGAUGGUUCAAUUGCGAGGUACCUGAUAGCAAGGAACUGGGACGUGAGGAAGGCUACCAAAAUGCUUAUGAAAACCUUGAAAUGGCGUUCAGAGUAUAAGCCGGAUGAGAUCCGUUGGGAUGAGAUAUCGGGUGAAGCCAUGACUGGUAAAAUUUACCGAAGUGAUUAUUUCGACAAGAGUGGACGGAGUAUUCUUGUCAUGCGGCCUGGAUGCCAGAAUACCAAGAAGUCCAAAGGGCAGAUCAGGUAUUUGGUAUACUGUAUGGAGAAUGCAAUUCUAAAUCUUCCAGCUGGACAGGAUCAGAUGGUUUGGCUGAUUGAUUUUGCUGGCUUCAGCUUGCCUAAUGUGUCACUUCUAGUGACAAAGUUGACAGCAGAUGUCUUACAAGGUCAUUAUCCUGAAAGAUUGGGUGUGGCAAUUCUUUAUAAUGCUCCCAAGUUUUUUGAGUCUUUUUGGAAGAUGGCAAGUCCCCUUCUUGAGCCAAAAACGAAAAAUAAGGUCAAAUUUGUGUACUCGGAUAGACCUGAAACUGACAAGAUAAUGGAAGACCUUUUCAACCUGGAUGAGUUAGAAUGCGCAUUUGGCGGUAGAAGCCCGGUCACUUUUAACAUAAAUGAUUAUGCUGCAAGGAUGAGAGAAGAUGAUAAAAAGAUGCCAUUAUUCUGGAGCCCCGAGAACUCGGCUCUUGCUGCAGAGCCAUAUCGCAUGAAGAACCACGGGUCUCAACAAUGUGACUCGGGUUUGAAGACUGAAGAGACUGCAUCUGACAUGAUUGGGGAAACAGAAGCUGCAUCUGAAAAGAGUGGAGAAACAGACACUGCAUCGGAGAAGGAAGAUGCCGAGGCUGCAUCUGAGGAGAGGGAAGAGACCGAGACUUCAUCAGGGAAGAGGGGAGAAAAUACGACUGAAUCUGUAAAGGAGGAAGAAACUGAGACCGUUUCUGAAAAGAAAGAAGAAACAGAGACUGGGUCUGAAAAGAAAGAAGAAACAGAGACCGAAUCAAGCACUGUAAAAUUGACAAGCUCGCGAGGGGAAGGUAUUGCAUCAGCAGGCAAAAGUGGCAGUUCAUCUGAUCCUUGA